GGGCGCUUAGCUCAGGGUGAGAGCACUUGCUUGACGUGCAAGGGGUCGCAGGUUCAAAUCCCGCAGUGCCCACCA
rnacentral:tRNA from 1 species